rnacentral:rRNA from 1 species
AUUGAACGCUGGCGGCAGGCCUAACACAUGCAAGUCGAGCGGAUGAAGGGAGCUUGCUCCUGGAUUCAGCGGCGGACGGGUGAGUAAUGCCUAGGAAUCUGCCUGGUAGUGGGGGAUAACGUCCGGAAACGGGCGCUAAUACCGCAUACGUCCUGAGGGAGAAAGUGGGGGAUCUUCGGACCUCACGCUAUCAGAUGAGCCUAGGUCGGAUUAGCUAGUUGGUGGGGUAAAGGCCUACCAAGGCGACGAUCCGUAACUGGUCUGAGAGGAUGAUCAGUCACACUGGAAGUGAGACAGGGUCCAGACUCCUGCGGGAGGCAGCAGUGGGGAAUAUUGGACGAUGGGCGAAAGCCUGAUCCAGCCAUGCCGCGGGUGUGAAGAAGUUCUUCGGAUUGUAAAGCACUUUAAGUUGGGAGGAAGGGCAGUAAGUUAAGACCUUGCUGUUUUGACGUUACCAACAGAAUAAGCACCGGCUAACUUCGUG